rnacentral:rRNA from 1 species
UGGGGAAUAUUGGACAAUGGGCGAAAGCCUGAUCCAGCCAUGCCGCGUGUGUGAAGAAGGUCUUCGGAUUGUAAAGCACUUUAAGUUGGGAGGAAGGGCAGUUACCUAAUACGUAAUUGUUUUGACGUUACCGACAGAAUAAGCACCGGCUAACUCUGUGCCAGCAGCCGCGGUAAUACAGAGGGUGCAAGCGUUAAUCGGAAUUACUGGGCGUAAAGCGCGCGUAGGUGGUUUGUUAAGUUGGAUGUGAAAUCCCCGGGCUCAACCUGGGAACUGCAUCCAAAACUGGCAAGCUAGAGUAUGGUAGAGGGUGGUGGAAUUUCCUGUGUAGCGGUGAAAUGCGUAGAUAUAGGAAGGAACACCAGUGGCGAAGGCGACCACCUGGACUGAUACUGACAC